rnacentral:hammerhead_ribozyme from 1 species
AUUUAGCUGACAAGUCACAAAUAGGACGAAACGCUCUUCCUAGAU